AAUAGAUACCCUGGUAGUCCACGCCGUAAACGAUGAGUGCUAAGUGUUAGAGGGUUUCCGCCCUUUAGUGCUGCAGCUAACGCAUUAAGCACUCCGCCUGGGGAGUACGGCCGCAAGGCUGAAACUCAAAGGAAUUGACGGGGGCCCGCACAAGCGGUGGAGCAUGUGGUUUAAUUCGAAGCAACGCGAAGAACCUUACCAGGUCUUGACAUCCUCUGACAACCCUAGAGAUAGGGCUUUCCCCUUCGGGGGACAGAGUGACAGGUGGUGCAUGGUUGUCGUCAGCUCGUGUCGUGAGAUGUUGGGUUAAGUCCCGCAACGAGCGCAACCCUUGAUCUUAGUUGCCAGCAUUCAGUUGGGCACUCUAAGGUGACUGCCGGUGACAAACCGGAGAAGGUGGGGAUGACGUCAAAUCAUCAUGCCCCUUAUGACCUGGGCUACACACGUGCUACAAUGGAUGGUACAAAGGGCUGCAAACCUGCGAAGGUAAGCGAAUCCAUAAAGCCAUUCUCAGUUCGGAUUGCAGG
rnacentral:rRNA from 1 species